rnacentral:misc_RNA from 1 species
CAGCAUUCGUGGGAUGAAUGAUAUAGACUGAGCUGCAGCCUCAGCCUGCAGGGUAUAUUAGUUUUCAAAGUAGAAACUAUAUAGUUUUUAGUCUCCUUUGUCCCUGACAAUUGCAGGAGUUUUAUUAUGUUGCCCUUUGACUCGAAUUAUUUGAAAAUGCAAAACUUACUUUGGAUUUUGGAUGUUUUCUUCUUCAUCUCCAC